rnacentral:rRNA from 1 species
UGAGGGAUAUUGGUCAAUGGGGGAAACCCUGAACCAGCAACGCCGCGUGAGGGAAGACGGUUUUCGGAUUGUAAACCUCUGUCCUCUGUGAAGAUAAUGACGGUAGCAGAGGAGGAAGCUCCGGCUAACUACGUCGCC